UGAACAAGCUAAAACUUGUUUAAUUGCCUCAAUGUCACUGGAAGGAACUACUGUCACCCUAUGAGCUAAUGUGAAUUUGAUGGACUUUUAUUUAUGAAUAUAGUUUUAAUUGCAGAUAUUUGCAGAGUGGAGAUCAAAAAAUUCACAAUAGCAGCAGCAGCAAUCAUGUGAUCAAAAUCCUGCUGAUACAUAAAAAGGUGUGAUGCUUCAAUCAUACUGUCAUGGCUGCCAUCUUGAUUUUUUAACUACCUCUCCUUUUGGACUACCCUGGAGUUCCUGCUGCCCCUUUAAGAUUAAAAGAGAUUAGCAAGACACUAUUUAUCUACUUUCUAUAUUAUUUCUGCUAAGUUCCAUGCUCUGUAUUUCAGGAGUAAAUAAACUACCAGUAUCCACA